CAGUCGAACGAAGCACUUUAUUUGAUUUCCUUCGGGACUGAUUAUUUUGUGACUGAGUGGCGGACGGGUGAGUAACGCGUGGGUAACCUGCCUUGUACAGGGGGAUAACAGUUGGAAACGGCUGCUAAUACCGCAUAAGCGCACGGCAUCGCAUGAUGCAGUGUGAAAAACUCCGGUGGUAUAAGAUGGACCCGCGUUGGAUUAGCUAGUUGGUGAGGUAACGGCCCACCAAGGCGACGAUCCAUAGCCGACCUGAGAGGGUGACCGGCCACAUUGGGACUGAGACACGGCCCAAACUCCUACGGGAGGCAGCAGUGGGGAAUAUUGCACAAUGGGCGAAAGCCUGAUGCAGCGACGCCGCGUGAGCGAAGAAGUAUUUCGGUAUGUAAAGCUCUAUCAGCAGGGAAGAUAAUGACGGUGCCUGACUAAGAAGCACCGGCUAAAUACGUGCCAGCAGCCGCGGUAAUACGUAUGGUGCAAGCGUUAUCCGGAUUUACUGGGUGUAAAGGGAGCGCAGGCGGUGCGGCAAGUCUGAUGUGAAAGCCCGGGGCUCAACCCCGGUACUGCAUUGGAAACUGUCGUACUAGAGUGUCGGAGGGGUAAGCGGAAUUCCUAGUGUAGCGGUGAAAUGCGUAGAUAUUAGGAGGAACACCAGUGGCGAAGGCGGCUUACUGGACGAUAACUGACGCUGAGGCUCGAAAGCGUGNGGAGCAAACAGGAUUAGAUACCCUNGUAGUCCACGCCGUAAACGAUGAAUACUAGGUGUUGGGAAGCAUUGCUUCUCGGUGCCGUC
rnacentral:rRNA from 1 species